UGAGGAAUUUUGGACAAUGGGCGAAAGCCUGAUCCAGCAACGCCGCGUGGACGAUGAAGGUCUUCGGAUCGUAAAGUCCUGUCGAGCGGGAAGAAAGACGUCAGAGCGAAUAGUUCUGGUGUCUGACUGUACCGCGAGAGGAAGCCCCGGCUAACUCCGUGCCAGCAGCCGCGGUAAUACGGAGGGGGCUAGCGUUGUUCGGAAUUAUUGGGCGUAAAGGGCGCGUAGGCGGCGGAGUAAGUCAGACGUGAAAUCCCUCGGCUCAACCGAGGAACUGCAUCUGAAACUGCUCUGCUUGAGGCCGGGAGAGGAGAGUGGAAUUCCCAGUGUAGCGGUGAAAUGCGUAGAUAUUGGGAGGAACACCGGUGGCGAAGGCGGCUCUCUGGACCGGUUCUGACGCUGAGGCGCGAAAGCUAGGGGAGCAAACAGGAUUAGAUACCCGCGUAGUCC
rnacentral:rRNA from 1 species